AUUGAUGUUAUUGAUACAAUCCCCGGUAGCAUCCAUCUCCAGAACUCUCUUCAUCUCGUGGAGCUGAAACUCUGAGUCCCCGGUGCCCUCCCUGCGGCCCCGGCCACCACCAUUCGACUGCCUCUAAGAAUCGGACUACCCAAGGCCCCGCACAAACAGAGUCAUACAGGGUUUGUCCUGUUGUGACUGGCUUAUUUCACCAGCAUAAUGUCCUCAGGGUUCGUCCACGUUGUAGUUCGUGUCAGACUUGCCUUCCUUUUUUUUAAGGCUGAAGAAUAUUCCAUUGUAUGUAGAGAGCACAUUUGUUUAUCUCUCCAUCCAUCUGUGGAUGCCUGCUUUGCUGCGGCCCCUUGGCUUUUACUGGCUGGCAGUGACAAAAUCCAAAAUGAAUUUCUUGGAGGCAUUUGGGGACAAUGAGAACACAGGCACAGUACCCUGUGAACCCGGCGGCAGCGGCUGAAUCUAUACGAUUUGUGCACAAGUGGAUAAUGCCCACCUUGCUUCUGCGAAACUGGCUCCUGAUUGCCAGACUUUUGCCACACCCCCCCACCCCGAAUCAGAGAAAUGAAGGUGGAUGAAUAGUGGUUGUAAAUUAAAUGAACAGUCCCCGCUACGGGGAAAACCCAGACGGCUGCUUGGUUCUUCCUGACUCCCUGGCAAACCCCACUGUUUGGUUUCUACAUUCCUUCACCCGCCAUAGGGCACUUAAGACCAUUCCAAUGAUAAACAGACAUUGGUGGGGAGACUGCCGUAAUAUUGCAAAAACAGUCGGUCAGCCACGUCUGUCUCGUCAGGUCCAUAAUGCUGGAAAAACUGAUUUUGACGUCCUCCUUACGGACGUUUGUACACCCGCAGCUGAACUUUCUUCAGUUGUCACUUGGUACGGGUUACCUAUAUGUCCCCAUUUUUGUCUGCAUCGUUGCUGGAAGGGUUGAAGCUUCUCCCUGGUUGAAAAAAAAACAAAACACAAACAAAAACAAAAAACAAAAAAAAAACCGUGGAAAAAAAAUUUCUAUUAGAAAAUAUGUUUUCCGCUUGGAGUAUACCUUCUAUGGUGUCCAGGGAUCAGGACAUCCACCUCACCGGGCAAGUCAUACACACUUGAAUGAAAACCUUGCAAACUUCUUGGAAUUCUUGUCUCGUGCUAGUAUGACCAGCCACCGUCAAUCUCUAACGUCUUAUGCUCAAGCCUGUCACCGUCAGGUUAAAGAAGCCUUUCUGAUCUCAAUUCAAAGGAUUCUGUUGGUCAUCGCUUAGAGCUUUGUAAUUAGGUAUGCUGGAAAUGUCAUCAAAGGAAGACAGCCCUCGAACCCCACCGGAAGGAACCUUUGCAAGCAUUCCUGACCACCGAUACUGCUGCAAAAACUGGAAGGUAUUGGGCUUUGGGUCCAGCUCACACAGCUGAAGAAAGCUUCACGCAACACCUAACACCUGGUUCUGUGCAGACGCUAGAGGCCCCCAAGCCAAAACUGACCUGGAAGAGAAGUAGCUGACAUCAAGGUAGACUGCCCAAGACUACAGAUCAAGACUUCGUACUUUCGAGCAACAUGAAACCCUUCCUCCUGUGUGUCCUUUCCUUUAAUCUGGCAUUGUCCUGGAAAGAUAACACCCUCACCUCUCUCUCUCCCAGGCCAUCGCUAACGAGGAAUAACCUCUGGAAUUUAGAACGGCUUUUUAUUUCAGCCUGUAGGAAAAAAGCAAAACAAGACCCCUCAUUGGUUGACUCUCCAUCAUUGAUACUGUUGAGUUAGAAGGGACCCUCCAGGGGCUUUCAUGAUUCAGGAUUCACUCCUUUUGGCAGAUCCCUACUUCUUUGCCCAGGGAUAAAUAUAAAUGAGGCUAUGAUCAGAAACUCCUCUUUAAUUCUUGAAAUUAUUGCAGAACCCACUACCAAAGCGAUAGCUGCCCAGCUAAGACCCUGAGACUCUCUGGCCAAAGAUGCUCUUGAUAAUUGAAUAGCCCUCGAUUACCUUUUUAGCUGGACAAGGAGGUAUCCGCUAUACCCCACACCGUUUGCUACGGCCUGGCUUAACCCUUCUGGGGAAAUCGAAAGUCUAUUAAUAAGACCACAGAGCAAACCACUUGGCCUAAAAGAGUGACUCCUUCAGCAGGGUCUUUCUUUGACUUAUUUGAUUCUGUUUGGUUUGGGUCUUGGGGACCAUGGCUCUGAAGUGCACUCCAAACAUUGGGAAUUAUCCUGCUUACAGUGAUCAUAGUAAUCCCCCUGGUGCAUUACAUACUCUCAAAGCUUUAAAUGCAUGUUCACAGCUGCUGACCACUAAGCAAAUUCUCUAAGGCUGGAGUGUCAGAAAAGGAACAAAGAGGACAGCCGACUGAAAAAUUAUGAACCUAAGGUUGCGACCUGUGAAUAUCACAGAGAUUAAGCAAAAAAACGUCAUGACCUGUGAAUACCACACAAAAGUUGACCAAAAAUGCAGCUGAGAGUGGCUCUAAUGCCUUGAAUCUUGAUUAUAUCUCUCGGUUAAGCUGCAAGUCUGAAUCAAGGGGGUAAUUGUUAAAAAGAAAACCGCGGGCCCCAAAUGGCAUCACUUAGGUUAAAGCCCCAAGCCAGCAACACCUAACCUGACUACAGUUAGCUCAACACCUAACCUGACUACAGUUUCAACCCCCUGAAAUGUAACAUUUAACAGUCCACGUGGAUUUCCUGGUCAGCACUAGGAAGUUUACUGACAGACCCCACCUAAAAUAAUGGUUUCUUUGCUAAUAAUUUCCUUUUGUUCCUGGUCCCUCUUCAUAUUUAAGAACCUUCCUUUUCUGUAGCCCUCUGGAGCUCCCCUUAACUUGCGAGCUGGGACGCUGCCCGUUUCAUGAAUCCACUAAUAAAGACGGUUAGAUCUUUAA